AGCAGCCGCGGUAAUUCCAGCUCCAAUAGCGUAUAUUAAAGUUGUUGCAGUUAAAAAGCUCGUAGUUGAAUUUCGGGAUCAUCAGGUUGGUCGUGCCUCUGGUAUGUACUUUCCUCGAUGGUUCCUCCUUCUUGAAGAACCGUAAUGCCAUUAAUUUGGUGUUGCGGGGAAACAGGACUGUUACUUUGAAAAAAUUAGAGUGUUUAAAGCAGGCAAUCGCUUGAAUACAUUAGCAUGGAAUAAUGAAAUAGGACGUUCGAUCUUAUUUUGUUGGUUUCUAGGAUUGACGUAAUGAUUAAUAGGGAUAGUUGGGGGCAUUAGUAUUCAAUUGUCAGAGGUGAAAUUCUUGGAUUUAU
rnacentral:rRNA from 1 species